GCGCCAUUAUCCCAACAGGCAGAGGAAAUGCACUCAAAAUGCAUCAAGUCUCAGUUCGAAUCUGAGAUGGCGUACCA
rnacentral:tRNA from 1 species